AGGGGAAACGGCAUUGAGUGCUUGCACUCUUUGGACGUCGACCGGCGCACGGGUGAGUAACGCGUAUCCAACCUUCCCAUUACUGUGGGAUAACCUGCCGAAAGGCAGACUAAUACCGCAUAGUCUUCGAUGACGGCAUCAGAUUUGAAGUGAAGAUUUAUCGGUAAUGGAUGGGGAUGCGUCUGAUUAGCUUGUUGGCGGGGUAACGGCCCACCAAGGCAACGAUCAGUAGGGGUUCUGAGAGGAAGGUCCCCCACAUUGGAACUGAGACACGGUCCAAACUCCUACGGGAGGCAGCAGUGAGGAAUAUUGGUCAAUGGACGGAAGUCUGAACCAGCCAAGUAGCGUGCAGGAUGACGGCCCUAUGGGUUGUAAACUGCUUUUGUAUGGGGAUAAAGUUAGGGACGUGUCCCUAUUUGCAGGUACCAUACGAAUAAGGACCGGCUAAUUCCGUGCCAGCAGCCGCGGUAAUACGGAAGGUCCAGGCGUUAUCCGGAUUUAUUGGGUUUAAAGGGAGCGUAGGCUGGAGAUUAAGUGUGUUGUGAAAUGUAGGCGCUCAACGUCUGAAUUGCAGCGCAUACUGGUUUCCUUGAGUACGCACAACGUUGGCGGAAUUCGUCGUGUAGCGGUGAAAUGCUUAGAUAUGACGAAGAACUCCGAUUGCGAAGGCAGCUGACGGGAGCGCAACUGACGCUUAAGCUCGAAGGUGCGGGUAUCAAACAGGAUUAGAUACCCUGGUAGUCCGCACAGUAAACGAUGGAUGCCCGCUGUUGGUACCUGGUAUCAG
rnacentral:rRNA from 1 species